rnacentral:rRNA from 1 species
AACACAUGACAAGUGCGAACGGUAACAUUUCUAGCUUGCUAGAAGAUGACGAGUGGCGGACGGGUGAGUAAUGCUUGGGAACUUGCCUUUGCGAGGGGGAUAACAGUUGGAAACGACUGCUAAUACCGCAUAAUGUCUUCGGACCAAACGGGGCUUAGGCUCCGGCGCAAAGAGAGGCCCAAGUGAGAUUAGCUAGUUGGUAAGGUAACGGCUUACCAAGGCGACGAUCUCUAGCUGUUCUGAGAGGAAGAUCAGCCACACUGGGACUGAGACACGGCCCAGACUCCUACGGGAGGCAGCAGUGGGGAAUAUUGCACAAUGGGGGAAACCCUGAUGCAGCCAUGCCGCGUGUGUGAAGAAGGCCUUCGGGUUGUAAAGCACUUUCAGUUGUGAGGAAAAGUUAGUAGUUAAUACCUGCUAGCCGUGACGUUAACAACAGAAGAAGCACCGGCUAACUCCGUGCCAGCAGCCGCGGUAAUACGGAGGGUGCGAGCGUUAAUCGGAAUUACUGGGCGUAAAGCGCACGCAGGCGGUUUGUUAAGCUAGAUGUGAAAGCCCCGGGCUCAACCUGGGAUGGUCAUUUAGAACUGGCAGACUAGAGUCUUGGAGAGGGGAGUGGAAUUCCAGGUGUAGCGGUGAAAUGCGUAGAUAUCUGGAGG